UACGUAGGGGGCAAGCGUUGUCCAGAAUUAUUGGGCGUAAAGAGCGUGUAGGCGGUCCGGUAAGUCAGCUGUGAAAGUCAAGGGCUCAACCCUUGAAAGCCGGUUGAUACUGUCGGGCUAGAGUCCGGAAGAGGCGAGUGGAAUUCCCGGUGUAGCGGUGAAAUGCGCAGAUAUCGGGAGGAACACCUAUAGCGAAGGCAGCUUGCUGGGACGUUACUGACGCUAAGGCGCGAAAGCGUGGGGAGCGAACAGG
rnacentral:rRNA from 1 species